AGUGAACGCUGGCGGUAGGCCUAACACAUGCAAGUCGAACGGCAGCACAGGAGAGCUUGCUCUCUGGGUGGCGAGUGGCGGACGGGUGAGGAAUACAUCGGAAUCUACUUUUUCGUGGGGGAUAACGUAGGGAAACUUACGCUAAUACCGCAUACGACCUACGGGUGAAAGCAGGGGAUCUUCGGACCUUGCGCGAUUGAAUGAGCCGAUGUCGGAUUAGCUAGUUGGCGGGGUAAAGGCCCACCAAGGCGACGAUCCGUAGCUGGUCUGAGAGGAUGAUCAGCCACACUGGAACGGAGACACGGUCCAGACUCUUACGGGAGGCAGCAGUGGGGAAUAUUGGACAAUGGGCGCAAGCCUGAUCCAGCCAUACCGCGUGGGUGAAGAAGGCCUUCGGGUUGUAAAGCCCUUUUGUUGGGAAAGAAAUCCAGCUGGUUAAUACCCGGUUGGGAUGACGGUACCCAAAGAAUAAGCACCGGCUAACUUCGUGCCAGCAGCCGCCGUAA
rnacentral:rRNA from 1 species